rnacentral:rRNA from 1 species
GACGUAGGGCGCGAGCGUUGUCCGGAUUUAUUGGGCGUAAAGAGCUCGUAGGCGGCUCGUUGCGUCGGCUGUGAAAACCCGCAGCUUAACUGUGGGCUUGCAGCCGAUACGGGCGGGCUUGAGUUCGGUAGGGGAGACUGGAAUUCCUGGUGUAGCGGUGAAAUGCGCAGAUAUCAGGAGGAACACCGGUGGCGAAGGCGGGUCUCUGGGCCGAUACUGACGCUGAGGAGCGAAAGCGUGGGGAGCGAACAGG